AGUGAACGCUGGCGGUAGGCCUAACACAUGCAAGUCGAACGGCAGCACAGUAAGAGCUUGCUCUUACGGGUGGCGAGUGGCGGACGGGUGAGGAAUACAUCGGAAUCUACUUUUUCGUGGGGGAUAACGUAGGGAAACUUACGCUAAUACCGCAUACGACCUACGGGUGAAAGCAGGGGAUCUUCGGACCUUGCGCGAUUGAAUGAGCCGAUGUCGGAUUAGCUAGUUGGCGGGGUAAAGGCCCACCAAGGCGACGAUCCGUAGCUGGUCUGAGAGGAUGAUCAGCCACACUGGAACUGAGACACGGUCCAGACUCCUACGGGAGGCAGCAGUGGGGAAUAUUGGACAAUGGGCGCAAGCCUGAUCCAGCCAUACCGCGUGGGUGAAGAAGGCCUUCGGGUUGUAAAGACCUUUUGUUGGGAAAGAAAGGCAGCAGGUUAAUACCACGCUGUUCUGACGGUACCCAAAGAAUAAGCACCGGCUAACUUCGUG
rnacentral:rRNA from 1 species